rnacentral:SRP_RNA from 1 species
GCCGGGCGUGGUGGCUCACGCCUGUAAUCCCAGCACUUUAGGAGGCCGAGGCGGGAGGAUCACUUGAGGUCAGGAGUUCGAGACCAGCCUGGCCAACACGGUGAAACCCCGUCUCUA